GACGAACGCUGGCGGCGCGCCUAACACAUGCAAAUCGAACGAGAAAGAGGGAGCUUGCUCCCUUGAUCGAGUGGCGAACGGGUGAGUAACGCGUGAGGAACCUGCCUCAAAGAGGGGGACAACAGUUGGAAACGACUGCUAAUACCGCAUAAGCCCACGGCUCGGCAUCGAGCAGAGGGAAAAGGAGCGAUCCGCUUUGAGAUGGCCUCGCGUCCGAUUAGCUAGUUGGUGAGGUAACGGCCCACCAAGGCGACGAUCGGUAGCCGGACUGAGAGGUUGAACGGCCACAUUGGGACUGAGACACGGCCCAGACUCCUACGGGAGGCAGCAGUGGGGAAUAUUGCACAAUGGGGGAAACCCUGAUGCAGCGACGCCGCGUGGAGGAAGAAGGUCUUCGGAUUGUAAACUCCUGUUGUUGAGGAAGAUAAUGACGGUACUCAACAAGGAAGUGACGGCUAACUACGUG
rnacentral:rRNA from 1 species